CACAGAAAGUGGCUUAGAACUGCUCUGGUGGAGCUGGGGAAAGGUCACCUGAUCUGGUGCACAGAAGAUGUGAGCAUCAUCCUGCUGGAAGCACCGCAGCCGGGUCAGUCCCCCCAGACUACCAGAGGCCUCGGCCCGGUGCAGGACCCCAAAGUCUGCCAGUCGCAGAGGCAGCUCUCGCCAGGAUCUGGGCCGCGACUGAGGUGAAAGAGGAACUUUGGACAGCAGUUCCAAACUCCAGACGUUACACAAAGGGACUAAGACUUAGGGAGGAAGAAAUCAUGGUAGAAGCCACAUUCUGUACUUGGACCUCGGCAGAGGACAGCACCAAGGAGUUGUUCAGCUGCUGCCCCAAGGACGUGGGUGCUGGAGUGCCAGAACACCUGGGUUCACAAGUAAGGAAUUCAUACCCUCCUCCCUCAAGCCCUCAGAGAAGCUGGUGUGAAAUCAGUAUGGCUCUUCUACAGAAAACCCCCAGCGCCACUCCUUGGUGCUUCCCAGUCCUGGAGCUCAAAAGCACAAGCCGAAUCUUCUUUUGUUGGUCCUAUAACAACCCCCUUUAGGGCUUCAGAGUAAACUACCUUCUUAA